AUGACACAUGUUUUUGAAGAUGACCUAGCACCACAAACUAUUGAAGUAAUGAAUACUCGCAUAUUAGAAAUAAUAAAAGUAUUUGAAAGACAGACAAAUAAGUUACAAAGAAUUUUAAAUGAACAAGAUGUUCUUGAGGGUAAAUACCAGAAGAUAGAAAAUGAAUAUCAGAUACUAGCAGAAGAGAAACAGAUAAUGGAGAAUGAACUUCAGAAGAUGAAAGAGACAGAAAAAAUGGAGGUUAAUAAAGAAAAAAUAAUGCCAGAACUUAGAAAGAAGAUUUCAGCAUUCUUGCAACCUUCUGAAAGUGAGACUCUUGAAGCAGCAAUGGCAAAAAUUCAAACAGGAGGAAAACCAAAGCAAGUUUCAUCUCAGGCUAAAAAACAGAGUGAAAAUCAGAAAAUGAAAGAAGAUUUGCUUAAAGCUCAGGAAUGCCUUCAAGUUCUUGAAAGAGAGAAGAAAAGCCUUGAGGAAAAGUUACAGAAAGCUUUAAAGGACAAGCAAAGAAACCCACAGCACUGCCGUUUCAGAAGACCAAGAAAAGUCACUUCAUGA
rnacentral:lncRNA from 1 species